AAGUCGUAACAAGGUUUCCGUAGGUGAACCUGCGGAAGGAUCAUUAAUGAGUUCGGGGGCCUAGCCCCCAGCGGCGAGUGUCGUUCGAGUCCCCCGGGGCUCGAGCGGCGGUCGUCGUGUUUCUCAACCCCAUGUUUACCGUACCUUUGUUGCUUUGGCGGGCCUUGAGUAGGCUAUACGGCUCAUGCCGGCCCCAGGUUUUGUUGCUUGGGGGCGGCUCGCGCCCGCCAGAGGUUUAACCAAAUUCUAUUUAUCAGUGAUGUCUGAGCAAUUAUUAAAUAAUCAAAACUUUCAACAACG
rnacentral:misc_RNA from 1 species